rnacentral:rRNA from 1 species
UACGGAGGGUGCAAGCGUUGUUCGGAAUUAUUGGGCGUAAAGCGCGUGUAGGCGGCAUGGCAAGUCGGGUGUGAAAGCCCUCAGCUUAACUGAGGAAGUGCGCCCGAAACUGCCGUGCUUGAGUGCCGGAGAGGGUGGCGGAAUUCCCCAAGUAGAGGUGAAAUUCGUAGAUAUGGGGAGGAACACCGGUGGCGAAGGCGGAUCUCUGGGCCGAUACUGACGCUGAGGAGCGAAAGCGUGGGGAGCAAACAGG